rnacentral:rRNA from 1 species
AUGCUUCUCCUAAAGACUAAGCCAUGCAUGCUCUGACUACGAGGAAGCAAUUCUCUCUGAAUCUGCGAACGGCUCCGCAAACCAGUUGUAAACUAUAGCAAGUCCGCUUGGGCUGGAUCUCGGUCUGGCCUGGGCGAUACGGAUAACCCUGGUAAUUCUGAGGCUAAUACGUGUAUGUAACACCCGGUGGACCGGCUUCGGCUGGGAAAUCGGGAGACGAGUGAUGGAAUGUUUGGAUUACCGGGAACGGGCA